rnacentral:rRNA from 1 species
CCUACGGGAGGCAGCAGUGGGGAAUAUUGGACAAUGGGGGGAAGCCUGAUCCAGCGAAGUAGCGUGCGUGAAGAAGUAUCUCGGUAUGUUAAGCUCUAUCAGCAGGGAAGAAACUGACGUUACCUGACUAAGAAGCCACGUCUAACUACGUGCCAGCAGCCGCGGUAAUACGUAGGGUGCAAGCGUUAUCCGGAUUUACUGGGUGUAAAGGGAGCGUAGACGGUGCAGCAAGUCUGAUGUGAAAGGUCGGGGCACAACCCGGGGAUUGCAGUGGAAACUGGUGAACUGGAGUACAGGCGAGGUAAGCGGAAUUCCUAGUGUAGCGGUGAAAUGCUUAGAUAUGAGGAGGAACACCAGUGGCGAAGGCGGCUUACUGGACUGUAACUGACGUUGAGGCUCGAAAGCGUGGGGAGCAAACAGGAUUAGAUACCCGAGUAGUC